AAAGAAAAACAAAAGCCAUUGGUAAUAUUAAAUUGUGCUUCGUUUUCUUUCAAUCUUCCUUAUUUCAUCUCAGAGUCCAUAGACUCCGACUCGCUGACUCAAUGGUGGUUCACCGUUCACUCCCUCAUCGCCUCUCUCUUUUUCCGGCGACCUCUGUUCUCUCCGAAAACUCUCUCCGUCCGCGAAAGAUAGGCGUCCGAUUCAAGCAUUUCCUUCCUUGAGUAUCGUCGGAUCUUGUAUCUCACUCGCAGCGAAUCGUGCAUAGCUCGACCUCCAUGGCCGUCAGAAGCGUCGAUUUCAAGUGAAUUGCACAUUGUCGGUGCAAGGCGAACCAAUGCAGACGAUACCACUGAUGAUGAUUUACCAAGUACCUCGGAGUGCCAAUUUACAGAUGCAGUAGCCUCUGAUUCAGCACACUCCAAUGAUCCAAAGCAUUUUGGUCAAUCUCCUCUCCCUGCUUAUCAACCAGCUUUUGAUUGGGAAAGUGAAAGAUCAUUGAUAUGCGGUCAAAGGGUUCCAGAAACUCCAAUAUCUCAUGGCCUGAAGAUCUCAGUGAAAGUUCUGUCCCUAUCAUUUCAAGCGGGACUGGUUGAGCCAUUUUAUGCUACAAUUUGCUUAUAUAAUAGGUAGAGGAGAAAAGUUGUCGGAGGAUUUCUAUUUUCGUCACGCACCAACAGAAACACAGAAUCUAAGAACUUUAUAUAUUUUUGCCACCACUUUAAUGGUCAUCCUUUGUUCUUUAAGUAAAUUUUUAGCACACAUCAUGACUGACAAAUUUACUACUGCCUUUUUUUGGGUGAAGAUUUCUUUUGAACCCCGUGGAAUCUUCUAGUUAGAUGCUCCAUCAUCAUCAGUUUGUCUUCUGAUCCAGUUAGAGAAGCACACCACAGAAGAAGGCGGGGUUACGCCGACGCCUACAGUUUAUUCUCGUAAAGAACCGGCUCUAUGAUGUACGACUUCUUUAUGGGAAAUGGUUGGCAUGUGGCAUCAUAUCAAGUUAUAAUCAGCCCCUUCAAGUACUCAUGUAAUCAAUCUGAAAGCAAUUCUAAUCUAGCUAGUAUGUUCUAUAUUUGAAAACCAGUUUAAUUAUAUACUAUGCUUCAUAUUUUGUAAUAUGAAGUUAUUUAAUUGAUAUAAUUUACCCAUGAAUGCUUUUGUUUA